rnacentral:misc_RNA from 1 species
CACAAUUAAAAUAUGAAGGCUUCGGCUGGAUUAUUUUUAUCACCCUCGUCUUUUGCGCACUUGUUGUUUCCUGGGCGGGUUCGCCCGCCACCAGGACCACACCAUAAACCUUUUUUAUGCAGUUGCAAUCAGCGUCAGUAUAACAAAUGUAAAUCAUUUA